AAAUGUCUCAAAAACAAUUAGCCUACAAGGAAACAUGAUAGUAAAUGGAAAAAAAGAUCUUCAAGUUUGAGAAUUACCUAUCCCUAUUAUUUGCAACAAACUCCUUCCAAUUUUGAGUAUCACUUACCCCGUUUUAUUUACAUUUGAGUGCACAUAGUUUCUUCUUAGGCUAGAUUUUUACAAUUAUUGGGAUUUUGAAACAAAAUUUAUUUAAGGUUGAGUUAUGCACCAAAUCGAAGGAAUGAAGAGCAGCCACAACGAGAUGGAUUACUUCAUUUCCUUGGUAAGGAAAACAGAAAUAACAGGCUACCAAUGGUUCUAAUACCCCCUCCCAAUUGGGAAUUACUCAGGUUUGAUGGUCAAGACUCAGUUUCGAAAAUGUGGGGUAUUUCAAUU
rnacentral:misc_RNA from 1 species